rnacentral:tRNA from 1 species
GGAGUAGUGGUUUAGUGGUAGAAUUCUCACCUCCCACACAGGAGACUCGGGUUUGAUUCCUGGCUAAUCCA